UACACUCCUGCGGGAGGCAGCAGUGGGGAAUUUUGGACAAUGGGCGAAAGCCUGAUCCAGCAAUGCCGCGUGUGUGAAGAAGGCCUUCGGGUUGUAAAGCACUUUUGUCCGGAAAGAAAUCCUUGGCUCUAAUACAGUCGGGGGAUGACGGUACCGGAAGAAUAAGCACCGGCUAACUACGUGCCAGCAGCCGCGGUAAUACGUAGGGUGCGAGCGUUAAUCGGAAUUACUGGGCGUAAAGCGUGCGCAGGCGGUUUGCUAAGACCGAUGUGAAAUCCCCGGGCUCAACCUGGGAACUGCAUUGGUGACUGGCAGGCUAGAGUAUGGCAGAGGGGGGUAGAAUUCCACGUGUAGCAGUGAAAUGCGUAGAGAUGUGGAGGAAUACCGAUGGCGAAGGCAGCCCCCUGGGCCAAUACUGACGCUCAUGCACGAAAGCGUGGGGAGCAAACAGGAUUAGAUACCCCUGUAGUCCCA
rnacentral:rRNA from 1 species